rnacentral:rRNA from 1 species
GCGGUAUGCUUAACACAUGCAAGUCGAACGGAAACGAUACUAGCUUGCUAGUAGGCGUCGAGUGGCGGACGGGUGAGUAACGCGUAGGAAUCUGCCUGAUAGUGGGGGAUAGCCCGAAGAAAUUCGGAUUAAUACCGCAUAAUCUAUUCGUAGUAAAGUGGGGGACUUUCGAGCCUCACGCUAUCAGAUGAGCCUGCGUAAGAUUAGCUUGUUGGUAGGGUAAAAGCCUACCAAGGCGACGAUCUUUAGCUGGUCUGAGAGGAUGAUCAGCCACAUCGGGACUGAGACACGGCCCGAACUCCUACGGGAGGCAGCAGUGGGGAAUAUUGGACAAUGGGGGCAACCCUGAUCCAGCAAUACCGCGUGUGUGAAGAAGGCCUGAGGGUUGUAAAGCACUUUCAAUUGUGAAGAAAAGUUAGCGGUUAAUAACCGUUAGCCUUGACGUUAACUUUAGAAGAAGCACCGGC